rnacentral:rRNA from 1 species
ACGACCUCAACCCAAGCAAGAUUACCCGCUGAACUUAAGCAUAUCAGUAAGCGGAGGAAAGAAACUAACU